rnacentral:rRNA from 1 species
GAUGAACGCUGGCGGCGUGCCUAAUACAUGCAAGUCGAGCGAACAGACGAGGAGCUUGCUCCUCUGACGUUAGCGGCGGACGGGUGAGUAACACGUGGAUAACCUACCUAUAAGACUGGGAUAACUUCGGGAAACCGGAGCUAAUACCGGAUAAUAUAUUGAACCGCAUGGUUCAAUAGUGAAAGACGGUUUUGCUGUCACUUAUAGAUGGAUCCGCGCCGCAUUAGCUAGUUGGUAAGGUAACGGCUUACCAAGGCGACGAUGCGUAGCCGACCUGAGAGGGUGAUCGGCCACACUGGAACUGAAACACGGUCCAGACUCCGACGGGAGGCAGCAGUAGGGAAUCUUCCGCAAUGGGCGAAAGCCUGACGGAGCAACGCCGCGUGAGUGAUGAAGGUCUUCGGAUCGUAAAACUCUGUUAUUAGGGAAGAACAAAUGUGUAAGUAACUAUGCACGUCUUGACGGUACCUAAUCAGAAAGCCACGGCUAACUACGUG